rnacentral:rRNA from 1 species
CUACGGGAGGCUGCAGUGAGGAAUAUUGCACAAUGGGGGAAACCCUGAUGCAGCAACGCCGCGUGGAGGAUGACGCAUUUCGGCGUGUAAACUCCUUUUAUCAGAGAAGAAAAUGACGGUAUCUGAUGAAUAAGCUCCGGCUAACUCCGUGCCAGCAGCCGCGGUAAUACGGAGGGAGCAAGCGUUAUUCGGAAUCACUGGGCGUAAAGGACGCGUAGGCGGGUUUUUAAGUCAGGUGUGAAAUCCUAUGGCUCAACCAUAGAACUGCACUUGAAACUGGGGACCUAGAGUAUGGAAGGGGCAGGUGGAAUUAGUGGUGUAGGGGUAAAAUCCGUAGAUAUCACUAGGAAUACCGAAAGCGAAGGCGACCUGCUGGGACAUUACUGACGCUGAGGCGUGAAAGCGUGGGGAGCAAACAGGAUUAGAUACCCCGGUAGUC